rnacentral:tRNA from 4 species
GGGCCUAUAGCUCAAUGUUUAGAGCCGACCGCUCAUAACGGUCUGGUUGCAGGUUCGAGUCCUGCCGGGCCCACCA